UCCCCGCUUUUCCUCCCUGAGCGGGUGCCUUGAUGUGUGACAGCAAAAGGGCUUCCCAGCCCGGCGCCCUGGGCGCCGGGCUUUUUUUU
rnacentral:ncRNA from 1 species